UCACAGGGUACCCGUAGGUUUGGCCUGUAGCCGUGGCCCUUACCUUGCUCUUAUGAGUUCGCGGCGGACGGGUGAGUAAUCGUGGGUAACCUGCCCUUAAGACUGGGAUAACUCAAGGAAACCGGGGCUAAUACCGGAUAACAUUUUGAACCGCAUGGUUCGAAAUUGAAAGGCGGCUUCGGCUGUCACUUAUGGAUGGACCCGCGUCGCAUUAGCUAGUUGGUGAGGUAACGGCUCACCAAGGCAACGAUGCGUAGCCGACCUGAGAGGGUGAUCGGCCACACUGGGACUGAGACACGGCCCAGACUCCUACGGGAGGCAGCAGUAGGGAAUCUUCCGCAAUGGACGAAAGUCUGACGGAGCAACGCCGCGUGAGUGAUGAAGGCUUUCGGGUCGUAAAACUCUGUUGUUAGGGAAGAACAAGUGCUAGUUGAAUAAGCUGGCACCUUGACGGUACCUAACCAGAAAGCCACGGCUAACUACGUGCCAGCAGCCGCGGUAAUACGUAGGUGGCAAGCGUUAUCCGGAAUUAUUGGGCGUAAAGCGCGCGCAGGUGGUUUCUUAAGUCUGAUGUGAAAGCCCACGGCUCAACCGUGGAGGGUCAUUGGAA
rnacentral:rRNA from 1 species